rnacentral:tRNA from 1 species
CGAAAUAGCUCAAUUGGUAGAGCAACUGACUUGUAAUCAGUAGGUUGCGGGUUCAAUUCCUGCUUUCGGC